UACAAAGAAAAGAUGGGAAGUGGGUGGUCAGCUGCUCUUCCAGAGAACCUGGUUUCAGUUCCCAGCACCAACAUGGCAGCUCACAGCCACCUGUGACUCCAGCUCUAGGGGCCCAACACUCCUGAUUCUGGGGGCAUCUGGCAUGCACAUGCUGAACAUACGUGGAAGGCUAAGCAAAUCUGCAGACAGAAAGAUGGCAUUGGAUCAAUAACAGGAAUGGAGAGAAUCCCAGAGCCUGGAGCAGCUGGAGCGCUGCUGACCCGGUUACCAUGGCAACCCUAGAAAAGCGGCAGCUACCACCGCACUAUCAUCACCUCCAUGAGUGGCAAAACUGACACCCAGUAGCCACCAGCUAACACCAGCUCCAAUCCGAAGCCUAGUACCGCAAGCAGCCCUGGCCCAGGCGGCCUGAAGACUGACAGGAACAAAAAGGCCUGGUCCUUUUGUCCCUCCUCCCCUUCCUCUUAAUAAAGCUCUGUGCUACUAAGCAACCGGGUUCAGCAACCAGGUUCUGUCGUGACCAUGACCUUUCUGCCGGUAACCAGUGUCACUCAUCAUUCAUUUCAUUGGUGCCACCGAGACUCGGAUAGGACAUUCUGCCCGCUCUGCCUCCGGAGCUGAGUGUCGGAAACCUAUGCUGAGGUUCACUGGACUUGGGACUGCCCACUCCACUUUUUUCAUCUGCCUAGCCGCCAGACCCGCGCACUACACCUGCCAACCAGAUUGCUUUCUCUGUCUCACAGCAUCCUGUCAGACACAUAAGUGGCCAGAGUGCCAAGCCGAGAGGGAUGGACAGCUCCGAAGCAGCAGGACAGCCCACCGUCCCAGGACGCCCACCAAGUCAGCUGGAAGCAGUUUUUCUGGGAGAAAUGACGCCCCUAUUCCUGUUCACUUGCUUUUUUAUAAUAAGCAAUGAGUCUGGAAUGUUAGAAUUCUGCCCUCACUCCAGCUACAUGUGUCUUACAUCAUCAGUGUGUACUGGCGACUACAUGCACGCAGCAUGGUCACGCAAUCAGCGCAUGCGUGGUGUAGCUCCAUACCGGGAUCCCUUAAAAGCCGGUUGCAGACCCCGCCCUCUCUCUCUGCUCUGUUCUCUCCCCCCACCCCACCCCACCAUCUUUCUCUCUCUUUCCUCCCCAGGCCUGGUCCUUUUGUCCCUCCUCCCCUUCCUCCUAAUAAAGCUCUGUGCUACUAAGCAACUGGGUUCUGUGGUGACUGUGACCUUUC